GCGAAAUUCCUUGUCAGGUAAGUUCUGACCCGCACGAAUGGCGUAACGAUUUGGGCACUGUCUCAACAGCCCGCCCGGCGAAAUUGUAGUACCGGUGAAGAUGCCGGUUUCCCGCAACUAGACGGAAAGACCCCAUGGAGCUUCACUGUAGCUUGAUAUUGGAUCUCGGUAUUCCAUGUACAGGAUAGGUGGGAGGCUAGGAAGCGAGCGCGCCAGCGUUCGUGGAGCCAACCUUGGGAUACCACUCUUGGGAUAUUGGGAUUCUAACCUGCGACCAUGAAUCUGGUCGGGGGACACUGUCAGGUGGGCAGUUUGACUGGGGCGGUCGCCUCCAAAAGAGUAACGGAGGCGCUCAAAGGUUCGUUCAGCACGGAUGGAAAUCGUGCACUGAGUGUAAACGCAUAAACGAGCCUAACUGCGAGAAUGACGGUUCGAGCAGUAACGAAAGUUGGAGUUAGUGAUCCGGCGGUAUGUGAAUGGAAAUGCCGUCGCUCAACGGAUAAAAGCUACCCUGGG
rnacentral:rRNA from 1 species